UACGGGGGGGGGCAAGCGUUGUUCGGAAUUACUGGGCGUAAAGGGCUCGUAGGCGGCCAACUAAGUCGGAUGUGAAAUCCCCAGGCUCAACCUGGGAACUGCAUCCGAUACUGGAUGGCUAGAGGUUGGGAGAGGGAUGCGGAAUUCCAGGUGUAGCGGUGAAAUGCGUAGAUAUCUGGAGGAACACCGGUGGCGAAGGCGGCAUCCUGGACCAAUUCUGACGCUGAGGAGCGAAAGCCAGGGGAGCAAACGGG
rnacentral:rRNA from 1 species